CCAGAAAAGAAAUGAUUGAUACACUUUGCUGUAAUAAAAAUAAAAUGUCUCUUUAUUAAAAGAUAUAAAGAAAGUGAAAAGCCAGCCAUGUAUUAUGAGAAGCUAUUUUAUUGAUACGAGAAUUAACAAAAGUUUAACCGUUGAAUAUAUGAAGAACUACAAAUAUAUGAAGGAAAAUGUAAGCAACAGAGAAAUAAACCAGCAUCUCAUAGAAGAGAAAAUACAAAUGGUAAAUAAGCAUAUAAAAUGUUUAGACUUACUAAUAUUCAAAAAACACAAAGUAAGACAAAAAUAAAAUACCCUUCUAUAGCUUCUAAAUUGGCCAUAUGAAGAAGUCUGGUUGAGGAGAAAAUAGGUUAAAGGAACUCGUAAGUUGCUGAUAAGAGUUUGCUUUGAAAAACAAUUUGUCAUUCCUUGUAAAGUUGAAUAUUUGCAUACCCUGAGACUCAGUGAUUUUACUUUUAGGUGCAUACCCCAGAAAAAAAUACUUGCAUAUGAGCACUAGGAGAUGCAUAACAACGUUCACAGCAGCAGUAUUCAUGGCAGUGAAAAAUGAAAAGAACUUAAAUGCACAUGGAUAAAAAUGUCUACUUAUUUGUGUCAUCUUUGCACAGUUGAAUUGUGUGAGUGGAAAUUAUUGAUCUACAGCUAGGAGAAGCAGCAGAGAUCAAGCUCAAAAACAUGAUGUUGUGUGGAAAACGAAUGGUUUUCUCAGAACACGAAUGGUAUGUGAUGCCAUUAUUAUAGUUCAGAAGUUAGCAAUAGUACAUCACUCUUUUAUUGUUAAAUAUGUGUGUCACAAAAUUAUCAAAAAGGCAACUGAAUUACAGCAACUGAAUGGUUGGUUAGCUCUGGGAGGUAGGGGAAUGGCAUAAGAAGAAAUACAUAGGUAGAUAGAAUGGAGUUCAUAACGGCUUAGCUCUUAAAUUGGAAUGUGGGUACCUGAGUUCAUUUUAUUAUUAUGUUUCAAUGCUUACAGACCCUAUUUGGCAUGCACUGGACGUAUACAGAUAUGUACAUAAAGAAAUAGCAUAAGCCAUGUUGUUGAUAGGUGAGGCUGUAAGGAGUCUUAUCUCCUACCAAGUGGGAGCAUUGCUCUUUCUUGUUUAAAUUAAGUAGAUUGGCUUUAAUAUAAUGUUACUAGACAGAAGUUUCCAAAUAGUUUUAAUGAGAGUGGGCUUCAGUCAACUGAAACAAAUCAUCAAAAUGAGUGCUUUGUAAAGAAGUUUCAAAGUAGAUAGUGGAGGACAUGCUUUAAGGAGACCCCAAUAAUCCACUCUUGUGUAAUCCCCUUGAGUGUGGGUUUAUGACUUACUUGCAACCAACACAGUGUGGCAAAGCUGUUGGAAAGACACUCCCUUGAUUAGGUUAGUUUAUGUUAUGUAAAGUUAUGUAGUUAUGUAAAGGUGAAGAAAUGUCACUCUUGUGAUUAUGUUUUAUUAUAUAAGGCUCUAUCUUAGCAAACCAGGAGAGAAAUUCUCCUGAUGGCCUUGAAGAAGCAAACAGCCACCUGGUUAAGCCCCUGUGGAUAGUGCCAAGUGGCAGGAAAGUGUGAGCAGCCUCUAGGACCUGAGGAUUAAAGUCAGUAAGAGCUGGGACCUCACUCAUGCAGACUUGAGGACAUGAAUUCGACCAACGACUUGAAUGAGCUUGGAAGUGGAUUCUUCCCUAGUCCAGUCUUCAGAUCAACUAUGUCAUAUAUGAAAGAACUUAGACCUUCUGGGUGGAGCCAAGAUGGCCAAAUAGGAACAGCUCCGGUCUACAGCUCUCAGCGUGAGUGACACAGAAGACGGGUGAUUUCUGUAUUUCCAUUUGAGAAAUUAAGAAUGUUCCCAAAGAAUGAUGGAGACAUUUCAAAAGGAUACAGAAGCCAGAUUGUGGGCACUUCUACUGGCCAACACUGGGACAUCGUGGACAUCAAAAUAAAUUUGUAAUAGUAAAGGAUUAUAGCCUAUUUAUUAGAUAAAAUCAGAUUUUUCUGAUUUAACUAAAUGAGUAGAAGGAAAAGAAAGCUCUUCCUUAUAUUAGAAAGUCAAUUAAUAAAUGCAGAAAGGAAUGAAAAAAUUAGAAAAGCCACCACUUGGCAACCAUGGCAGGCAGAAUGGGGAGCAUGCCUCCAGACAGUAAUUCCUUUCAAACUGGUUUAUAGGAACUCACUGAGCUUGCUGAUCGACCUCUGAGAGGCAAAGUUUCUGAAUUUUGAAGCACUGAUUAUAUAAACUUAGACAGAGACAUGCUUCAUUAUUUAAUAGGACUGUGUCAAAAGCCUACUAUUAGGACGAUGUGUUGAGUGUGGAACAGCGUCUCUUCCUGCCAGGGACACUGGUGAUUUCACUUCGUGUUCAGACUGAUCUUUGAAGUUGAAGACAAGCAGAAGAAUCCUUCUAAAAUUUAGCCAUGCCCAUAGGCUGGGAGGGACACUGCUCCAUUCAGAGGCAGCAAA